rnacentral:rRNA from 1 species
GAUGAACGCUAGCGGCAGGCUUAACACAUGCAAGUCGAGGGGAAACGGCAUCGAAAGCUUGCUUUUGAGUGGGGUCGACCGGCGCGCGGGUGAGUAACGCGUAUCCAACCUGCCCAUCACUUGGGACUAACCUUGCGAAAGUAAGACUAAUUCACAAUUACAUCCCCAGGAGGCAUCCGAAUGGGAUUAAAGAUUUAUCGGUGAUGGAUGGGGAUGCGUCUGAUUAGCUUGUUGGCGGGGUGACGGCCCACCAAGGCAACGAUCAGUAGGGGUUCUGAGAGGAAGCCACCCCACAGUGGAACCACGACACGGUCCACACUCCGACGGGAGGCAGCAGUGAGGAAUACUGUGCAAUGGGCGAGAGCCUGAAACCGCCAAGUAGCGUGCAGGAUGCCGGCCCUAGUGGUUGUAAACUGCUUUUAUAAGGGAAAAAAGUGGGUCACGUGUGACUUUUUGAAUGUACCUUAUGAAUAAGCACCGGCUAACUACGUG